UACGUAGGGUGCAAGCGUUAAUCGGAAUUACUUGGCGUAAAGCGUGCGCAGGCGGUUAUAUAAGACAGUUGUGAAAUCCCCGGGCUCAACCUGGGAACUGCAUCUGUGACUGUAUAGCUAGAGUACGGUAGAGGGGGAUGGAAUUCCGCGUGUAGCAGUGAAAUGCGUAGAUAUGCGGAGGAACACCGAUGGCGAAGGCAAUCCCCUGGACCUGUACUGACGCUCAUGCACGAAAGCGUGGGGAGCAAACAGG
rnacentral:rRNA from 1 species